rnacentral:rRNA from 1 species
GUGGGGAAUCUUGCGCAAUGGGCGAAAGCCUGACGCAGCCAUGCCGCGUGAAUGAUGAAGGUCUUAGGAUUGUAAAAUUCUUUCACCGGGGACGAUAAUGACGGUACCCGGAGAAGAAGCCCCGGCUAACUUCGUGCCAGCAGCCGCGGUAAUACGAAGGGGGCUAGCGUUGCUCGGAAUUACUGGGCGUAAAGGGCGCGUAGGCGGACAGCUUAGUCAGAGGUGAAAGCCCAGGGCUCAACCUUGGAAUUGCCUUUGAUACUGGUUGUCUUGAGUUUGGGAGAGGUGAGUAGAACUCCGAGUGUAGAGGUGAAAUUCGUAGAUGUUCGGAAGAACACCAGUAGCGAAGGCGACUCACUGGCCCAAUACUGACGCUGAGGCGCGAAAGCGUGGGGAGCAAACAGGAUUAGAAACCCCGGUAGUCC